rnacentral:misc_RNA from 1 species
GAAAUGCGAUACGUAAUGUGAAUUGCAAAUUCAGUGAAUCAUCGAGUCUUUGAACGCACAUUGCGCCCCCUGGUAUUCCGGGGGGCAUGCCUGUCCGAGCGUCAUUUCUGCCCUCAAGCACGGCUUGUGUGUUGGGCCCCGUCCUCCGAUCCCGGGGGACGGGCCCGAAAGGCAGCGGCGGCAUCGCGUCCGGUCCUCGAGCGUAUGGGGCUUUGUCACCCGCUCUGUAGGCCCGGCCGGCGCUUGCCGAUCAACCCAAAUUUUUAUCCAGGUUGACCUCGGAUCAGGUAGGGAUACCCGCUGAACUUAAGC